GGUUAGUUCAGUUGGCUAGGGCAUCGUGCUGAUAACGCUCAGGCUGCAGGUUUGAUCCCUGUAUGGAACA